CUCCAUGAGGACUACUCGGUAGUCCUCACAUUACUCCUGUAGCCUGGAUGGAUAUUUUACCUGAACUUUUAGCAACAGUGCAAAGAUUGAACGUUAUAAUUUGUGGUUACCUGAACUGGUACAUAGCCCUGCAAUUUAUGACAGAUUUGAACUGCGUGCCUCUGUUUGCAACUCCAUGGUACUUACAAGAAGGAUAAUUGGAUAAUUUGGAUAUUUUCGACGAGGAUCUGACCAUGUGAAUGUCUUGAGAGGAGAAAGGGGUAACGUUAGCCUAAUUUAGCACGCUAACGAUAGCUGAAGGACUCAUUUUCAGAUCACACGCAGAUGUCUGCCACCACUGCUGAUCUUGAAAAGAUGG